AUUAAACGCUGGCGGCAUGCCUUACACAUGCAAGUCGAACGGCAGCACGGGGGCAACCCUGGUGGCGAGUGGCGAACGGGUGAGUAAAGCAUCGGAACGUGCCCUGGAGUGGGGGAUAACGUAGCGAAAGUUACGCUAAUACCGCAUAUUCUGUGAGCAGGAAAGCAGGGGGAUCGCAAGACCUUGCGCUCUGGGAGCGGCCGAUGUCGGAUUAGCUAGUUGGUGGGGUAAAGGCCUACCAAGGCGACGAUCCGUAGCGGGUCUGAGAGGAUGAUCCGCCACACUGGGACUGAGACACGGCCCAGACUCCUACGGGAGGCAGCAGUGGGGAAUUUUGGACAAUGGGCGAAAGCCUGAUCCAGCAACGCCGCGUGAGGGGAAGAAGGCUUUCGGGUUGUAAACCUCUGUCCUUGGUGACGAAAAAAAUGACGGUAGCCAAGGAGGGAAGCCCCCGGGCUAACCUACGUGCCAGCAGCCGCGGUAAU
rnacentral:rRNA from 1 species